GCUGCUUGGGAGGCUGAGUCAGGGGAAUCACUUGAACAUGGAAGGUGGAGGUUGCGGUGAGCUGAGAUCGUGCCAUUGCACUCCAGCCUGGGCAAUGAGAACAAAACUCUGUCUCAAAAAAAAAAAAAAAAAAGGGUUCUAGCUGGUUACAGAUAAUAAUGACCUGUAUUUACAGGUGAAAUUAAUAGGACAUGAUAUCUGAGAUUUGCUUUAAAAUAUUUGUAGGUUGGAUACAGUGGCUCACACCUGUAAUCCCAUGACUUUGGGAGGCCAAGAGAUUGGUACAAGCGCAAUUUUACCAUCACCUUCUUCAUGGGAAAAGUGGCCCUGGAAAGGAUUUGGAACAAGCUUAAACAGAAACAAAAGAAGAGGAGCAACUAGGAGUCCACUCUGACCCAGCCAGAGUCCAGGUUUCCACAGGAAGCAGAUGGAGCUCCUUUCACAGGGGCUCUGAGAAAAACUGGAACUGAUCUCAAGAAGCCCCACAUCUUCCUAAGGGGCCCUGUGGCCUGUUUGGGGGCAGGGUAGGUCCUGGGGCACUGUGGGCUGCCUGCCUGCUGAUGUGGGCUCUAGGCCAGCUUGUUGUCACGGACAUGGUGUCAAACAAAGCCCAAGCACUGGGUGCCCGUUUCCUGUGUUUCGAAUUAUACCAAUUCAAAACAGAACUAUUUAAAAAUAUUGGCCAGGCACGGUGGCUCACACCUGUAAUCCCAGC
rnacentral:sRNA from 1 species